rnacentral:lncRNA from 1 species
CUCGUGUAGCUCCAAACUUCUUCCUUCGAGCUCGCAUUGCUUUGAGCUUUCUCCAAAUUUCCAAGCUCUCGACCUCUGAUUGAAUUUCGAGGUGAGCUUCCCUAUUCUGCUCUUCCUGCAGGUUCAUCCCCUCAUACUCACUGGCCAUCUACAAGCUUGGAUCUGUGCUUCUUGGCCUCCAUCCAAGCUCUGUCUCCCUCUGUCUGAGCUCC